ACAAAAUACAGAGAAUAAAUGGCAACUGUUCAUAUUAAUUUCUUCUUUGUUGACGCUGUGUAUGAAAAACUAUACAUUUAUAUUUGUAUGUAAAAGACUAUGAGUGAAAAAUGUGAAGGCUCUAUAUAUCCAACUUUGAUCUUGAUCUGGUCUAAAUGUUUUUGAAAUAAUAAAAACUCGUUAAAGAAAAGUUCUUAAUUAAAAUAGCAUGUAAAAAGUCAAUUAAUAAAAAAUUACUCAUUUAUUAGACUUCAGAACCUAUUGCAGACCAGGACAAAAAAAAAUCAAGAGAUCAUGUACAAAGCAUGGAAGCGAAGUACAAUCUGUGUUUAUGUAAGCUGAUUAAAGAAUAACUUUGUUAGUUUGUAGGAUCGGAUGAAAAAAAGUAUGUAGCAUCCUGUAGUACAGUAGCUAUGUGUGAACGAAUAUUUCUGAAAGACAGAUCUGGUCUCUUGUCCAAUUCUCAGUUGACCAACACUAAAAUCAAGACAGGCCACAAGAUAGGCCACAAGAAGGUCUACAUCUUAGAUCGGGGUCAGAAGAUAACGACCCUGCAAAGCCAGCCGUAUUUGGAACAGACCGGGUGCAGGCUGAACACUGAACACAAGAAGUUAUACAAAGAAAAGACAAAAUCUUCAGUCUCAGAGAUAAAAGAUUUGAGAAAGUUUAAGUACUCUUGUUUUGAUUUAACGCCCUACAGGUCAGAGCAGUGAGUUGGUGUUGCGAUCUAACCAAGAGACUGGCAGGCCAGAUCCUUACGCUGAUACGCCUAAAUGUUACGUCAGACUUAACAAAGACGAUGUGACCAGGCCGUGCAGAGGCAGACACAGGAAUGAUGCUGGCGGGUCCAAGGGGGAUGGGAGAGACGAGAACACCAGCAAUGUCGUCUGUGUUGGUGCCGACACAGAUGAGGACGAUGGGGCGUGCGACGACGACGAUGAGUACGACGAGGAGACUGGGGGCGCCCCCCAAGCCGUGCGAGCCAUGCAGCUAACGAAUACUGAAGUCAGUAACAAAAUUAUUAUCGACCCUCACAAGCAGAAAAUGGAAGACUUUGCCAGGAGAGUCCCCAGCAAACAUCUAGUCAAGCAUUUGUCUUGCGAAGGCUACUUCAAUUUUACCUAUGAUAGAUUUGCAAGAACAAACUGCUUGGACCAAAUUCCUAAAUGCCUGUGCUUGGCGCCGAAAAUCGGCAAGAAGAAAAAGGCCAAAAAAACUGGCCAACAUGUGGUCUGAUAAACUAUAUUGACUUUCUUGUUUUAAAUUCUGCUUUGGGAUCUACAAGAUAAAAAUAAAUUGUGACACAGAU